AUGCUCACUUUGGUAGCACAUAUACUAAAAUUGGAAUGAUACAGGGAAGAUAAGCAUGGCUGCUAUGCAAGGAAGACACGCAAAUUCAUGAAGUGUUCCAUAUUUUU
rnacentral:snRNA from 1 species